rnacentral:rRNA from 1 species
CUAGUCUUAUCGGUGGAUCACUCGGCUCGUGGAUCGAUGAAGAACGCAGCCAACUGCGAUAAUUAGUGUGAACUGCAGAAACCUUGAACACAGAACCUUCGAAUGCACAUUGCGCCAUUGGAGUGACAUCCAUUGGCACGCCUGGUUCAGGGUCGUAAC